AUGGCGGCCCUGAGGGCGCUUUGCUGCCUCCGCAGUGUCGGAGGCCAGGUGCUGCGGCCCAGGUCUGGGAUCUGCUUGCCGAGUCAGCCCAGCAGAGGUGCUCGGCAGUGGCAACCAGAUAUAGAAUGGGCAGAGCAGUUUGUGGGAGCUGUCAUGUACCCCUCCAAGGAAACAGCCUACUGGAAACCUCCUCCUUGGAAUGAUGUGGACAUUUUGAAGGAAAAUGUGGUGACCAAUAUGACCCUGAACUUUGGGCCCCAGCACCCAGCAGCCCAUGGAAUCCUGAGAGAAUUGAGUGGAGAGAUGGUGAGGAAAUGUGACCCUCACAUCGGGCUCCUGCACCAAGGCACGGAGAAGCUCAUUGAGCACAAGACCUAUCGGCAGGCCCUUCCAUACUUUGACCGGUUGGACUAUGUAUCCAUGAUGUGUAAUGAACAGGCCUAUUCCAUAGCUGUGGAGAAGUUGCUAAACAUCCAGCCUCCUCCCUGGGCACAGUGGAUCCGCGUGCUCUUUGGAGAGAUCACACGGAUUUUAAACCAUAUCAUGGAUGUUACCACACACGCCCUGGACAUUGGUGCUAUGACUCCGUUCUUUUGGAUGUUUGAAGAAAGAAAGAAGAUGUUUGAGUUCUAUGAGUGGGUGUCUGGAGCCCGGAUGCAUGCUGCUUAUAUCUGACCAGGAGGGGUGCACCAGGACCUACCUCUUGGACUUAUGGAUGACAUUUAUGAAUUUUCCAAGAACUUCUCUCUUCGGAUUGAUGAGGUGGAGGAGAUGCUGACCAACAAUAGAAUCUGGCGAAACAGGACAGUCGACAUUGGGGUUAUAUCAGCAGAAGACACACUUAACUACGGAUUCAGUGGGGUGAUGCUCCAGGGUUCAGGCAUCCAGUGGGACUUGUGGAAGACCCAGCCCUAUGAUGUCUAUGACCGGGUUGAGUUUGAUGUUCCUGUUGGUUCUCGAGGGGACUGCUACGAUAGGUACUAGUGUCGGGUAGAGGAGAUGCGCCAGUCUCUGCGAAUUAUUGAACAGUGUCUGAACAAGAUGCCUCCAGGGGAGAUCAAGGUUGAUGACGCCAAAGUGUCCCCACUUAAACGAGCAGAGAUGAAGACGUCCAUGGAGUCACUAAUUCAUCACUUUAAGCUGUAUACUGAGGGCUACCAAGUUCCUCCAGGAGCCACAUACACCGCCAUUGAAGCUCCUAAACAUACAUGCACGUGCUCACACUCAGCUGUCUAG